rnacentral:misc_RNA from 1 species
UUACACCGGUCUCGACACUGGCAGGCUAGUCGUCUUUUCCGAAGAAACUACGUACAAACGAAUAUUGCACAGUACACGGGACGUUUCCUCCACAGCAAGUCUUUUUUUGCCUUCCGCAUCUUCCUACGACUUGCGACUUCCGCCGUGCCUUGUCAGGCUAGCACAUGCGUUGUAUAGUGAAUCACUGGGUCACUCACCACUCCCGAUGCAUUACCAACGCUAGACAUCACAGGGGUGACUUUGAAAGCCAUUGAUUCGACUUAUUCCACCGCUGCCUACCUGCAACCGUGUGUGCAUAGCAAUAUUACCUUGCGGCCGCUCUUGGCAAUCAUCAGUGCUUGUCCGAAGCCACAUUUUGCAGUAUUGCCGCAUUGCGCUAUUCCAGAUACGACCUGAUACCUCUCUAAAUUCAACUCAAGCUGCUUACACAUACAUCACAACGUUCCCGUGAUCAUUCCCCCAGAAGCUCGAAGCCUGGGCAGGUUGAUAGACAGGUGAGGAUACCGAGUCUUGAAUAUAGAUCGUGGCUUUUAAUCUGAUACAUCGGCAUACAUUCAACUUCCUUUUUUUGCAACCUAGAUUUGAACAGAAGCUAGGAAUAACGAAUAGCUGUGUUCUCUCUGUCGAUCAGAAACUUCGAGGAGGAUCAAUCUUGCUGUACAGAAAAAGAGGUCAUGACCGAUCGCAGCAAAACCUUACCUGGCCUCGCUGUUGAGAAUUCAGUGGCCGGAUCUAAAAAAGCGUGGAUUCGAGAUUUGUUUGAGUUGUAUGAGCAUGCUGAGGGGCUAUACCCAGAUAUGAGGUGGAGGGUACAAAAAGAACGCUUCGCGGUCUGGGGACAUAAAGCCAUUGUUUAUGCGCGAGCUUCUAAAGCCUUCAGAGAUGCUUUUUUGCACCUCCGAUCGUUCGGUCCCACAGCUGGCGCUCCUUCGCCAUUACUUUCGUGUACCCGCGACCCAGACCUUUCUAUCCACAGACCAUUGCAAUUGCUGCCAAAUUCUCUCGACAAUUCCAUUGAUUUGACACUAUGUAACAACGACUUCAUCUUCGACAUGAUAAUCCAUGAUUCCGCGGAACUGUUACAAACCCAUCUGAAGUAGGUGCUUUCUUGUAGAACCCUCGACAGAUAAUGAUUCAGCUUCCUUGUUCGGUCAGGAUGAUAUAUACCUCGGAAGGGGCAGAAGUUUUAUCAAGUUGGGUGAAGGGGCAGGCACAGACUGGUGCGUGGCAAUCAGAACUAUGGUUGUAUCCAGAUGGCUCCGAAACCGUGUCUGAAAGGCGGGACAAGCUGAGUCAAGAUCUGACGUAUAUGUGGAGAAGCAAGCUUUUUGCGGAUGU